rnacentral:lncRNA from 1 species
UAGUGAUGAGAUUAUUCAUGUAAGGCGUCAAACAUCAACAAUAGAGAAAUAGGGGAUUAUAUACACAACCUAACCGCUUUCGUAAUUUUGUCUGAACUCUUUGUUUCUUUUCGCUUUAACACAACUUCAUCCUCGUUCCCGAUAGAGGUAACCUGAUUAUCUAAGCAAAGUUUCAAAAUGUAGUUGUCAUCAAUGACGAUAUAGUCAUAACUUAGAACCUCU